rnacentral:rRNA from 1 species
AUGGCCUUGCAUCCAUCUGGCCCUGUUGUGUUCAUGGAGCCACUGUACCAAGGCCAAGACCGAGACCCCGUGAACGUCAAGUUCUUCCAUGACGCCCGAACGAUUACAGGUCAAAACGCCAAGUCCCACUUCAACAAGUGUACCUCUACUUCGAAUUCACCAAGUACCCUUCGGAUGCGCCUGGUUCGACUACAUGGACCGCCAAGUUCCUCUACCGUCGACCCGAACAUCUACGGACGUGUACGACUACCGUUGCCCGAAGAACCGUGGUUCACAAGUGUCGGGAAUGACUACCGUUGA